GGUAACUAUGGUGGUGGUGGGAACUAUAAUGAUUUUGGAAAUUAUAGUGGACAACAGCAAUCAAAUUAUGGACCCAUGAAAGGGGGCAGUUUUGGUGGAAGAAGCUCGGGCAGUCCCUAUGGUGGUGGUUAUGGAUCUGGUGGUGGAAGUGGUGGAUAUGGUAGCAGAAGGUUCUAAAAACAGCAGAAAAGGGUUGAAUGAGAACCCUACUUGCCUAAAUGAGGAAUGUCUUUCCUACCAUCUAAAAUACGAAGGUUUCUGGCUGGGUAAGGUUUGUAGUUGACAGUAAAACCUGAUGACACCAUUUGUUUCCCUGCAAGUCUACAUUACAUAUUUCACAACUUUGUCCCUCUCUAGUAGGCACAUUGGAAAAAUUCUUCAACUGAAAACUACCUUGGUACCAUGUCCUACACGUUUUAAACCUUAGUUUUAAAAAUUCCCCUGCGAAAUAGCCAUAAGUAUUCAUAUCAAGUCAGUUGUGACUCCUUGUGUAUACAAUUCAUUUUUUGUGUCUUCAGGGUAAACUCAAUUUUUGGUAAAGUGGUUUCAGCUUUUGUGAAAACCGUUUUGGUGUGUAAGCAUGACACACAACAGACUCAGUAAGCUGCCCAUCCUCAUACUAGGAAAACACCUUCAAAGGAACAUUAAAAGUUACCAGGGCCAGGCACAGUGGCUCACGCCUGUAAUCCCAGCACUUUGGGAGGCUGAGGCAGAUGGAUCCCAAGUCCAGGAAUUUGAGACGAGCCUGGGCAACAUAGUGAGAGCCUGUCAAC
rnacentral:lncRNA from 1 species